UGUGUAACCUGGUUGUAAUUCUCUUUUGUUAUAAUUACACAAAAUGUCUUUUUUUGAUUAUUUGUCUUGUUCCUUAUCUUACUGAAACACCUCUGUCAUUGUUUUAACCGUGUUACUUUAAGAUUGAAGCCCCUCCCUUUUAUUUCUUCUUCUGUGGUAUUGUCUUUAAAUUGUUUGCGCCCCUUAGCCCCUCCCCUUUUGUCAUGUCCUGCGGGAGAGGACUUGGAGCGGGCAGCCUUUAACACGGUUGUUUUGUCUGUAUUCUCGUCAGAAAUAAACCGAGAAUCAUC